AGGAAGGUGGAUGUGGGACUGGGAGUGUUGUCGUGACUUGUGACUUUCCUUGCAUACCAAGGAUUUCCAUAUUAAUUGUAAUUAAUUUCCCUUAUAUGUGGGUGUUUACUGGCAAGCAAUAUAUAUAAUAUAAGUUGGGGGUGUGGGAUUGAGAAAGGAGGAGGGAAACUUAUACCUGGCUAUCAUAAAAAAUGGUUCCCAAGGCCAAUGCUGUUUACAUGAGUCUCUUCAUCCUAUUGCUGUUGUUCUCAUCCAAAGUUGUGUUUGCCGGAGUUUCCCAAUUUUCAGAAACCAAAGAGAAGAUCGAUACGGAGUUUUCGAGGAUGAAGAUUGUUAACCAUGAAACGUCCAUAGACCCAGGUACAAAGCCGCCCGGCGCUGGAAGGGGUUGAGUGUGCGGACUGUACCACCAACAACAAUAUAUAACUGUUCUUUACCAAUCAUAAACUGGAACGGAAAUAGGGGUGAUUUGGUGCUUAUGGAAAUAUGGAUCUUGUUGAUCGACCUUGAAGGGAGUAUAAUCUUAGGUCAUCUUAUAGUUCUCUGUAUGGUUGUUCUUUUAGGCUGUAUAAGUUUUUUGCCUCUCCUUUCUUUAUUGGCCAUGGCCACUUUACUUGCUUACAUAUUCUAUGAUCAUGCAAAAACACAGCACAACAAAAACACAUGUUUUAGUACUUUUCCAUAUAUUUCAAAUGUCCAAGCAAUUUGUUGAAUGACUGAAUAUUCAUCAAUCAAAGUCAUUGAACGAGAUUGCUAGUUUAUGAAUUCUAA